UACAGAGGGUGCAAGCGUUGCUCGGAAUCAUUGGGCGUAAAGGGCAGGUAGGUGGUCCCAUUUGUCUGAGGUGAAAGCCUUCGGCUUAACCGAAGAAGUGCCUUAGAAACGGUGGGACUCGAGUGCUAGAGAGGGUUGUGGAAUUCCCGGUGUAGCGGUGAAAUGCGUAGAGAUCGGGAGGAACACCAGAGGCGAAGGCAGCUCGCUGGGACGUGACUGACGCUGAGACGCGAAAGCGUGGGGAGCAAACAGG
rnacentral:rRNA from 1 species